GCGUAUAGAAUCUGCCUUGUACAGGAGGAUAGCCUUUAGAAAUGAAGAUUAAUACUCCAUAAUAUUGAGAAGUGGCAUCGCUUUUUAAUUAAACAUUUAUGGGUACAAGAUGACUAUGCGUCCUAUUAGCUAGAUGGUAAGGUAACGGCUUACCAUGGCAACGAUAGGUAGGGGGUCUGAGAGGAUUAUCCCCCACACUGGUACUGAGACACGGACCAGACUCCUACGGGGGCAGCAGUGAGGAAUAUUGGGCAAUGGAGGUAACUCUGACCCAGCCAUGCCGCGUGCAGGAAGACUGCC
rnacentral:rRNA from 1 species